rnacentral:misc_RNA from 1 species
GGGAGAAAGAGUCUUUAUACCGCCGGGGAACUACCAUUCACCUCGCAAGAGUUUCGUAUAACUUUACUUGACGAAGAUGAUGGAUCUGGCGCUGAAAGGCGACAGAGGAACUUUACUAUUGCAAUCAAGUUUGUUGCUCGGGCUGAUCUUCACCAUCUGGAAAUGUUUUUAGCUGGGAAGCAGGCAGAUGCCCCGCAAGAAGCACUUCAAGUUCUUGACAUAGUUCUUCGUGAACUACCAACUGCAAGGUGUGUGCCAGUGGGCCGAUCUUUUUACCCACGAGAAGGGAGGAAGCAGAAACUCGGGGAGGGCUUGGAAAGCUGGCGAGGUUUCUAUCAGAGUAUCCGUCCAACUCAAAUGGGGUUAUCUCUUAAUAUUGAUAUGUCUUCCACUGCAUUCAUUGAGCCCCUUCCAGUUAUUGAAUUUGUUUGCCAGCUUUUAGGCAAGGAUGUCACUGCUAGACCUUUGUCUGAUGCUGAUAGAGUUAAGAUAAAGAAGGCUCUUAGAGGUGUGCGUGUAGAGGUUACACAUCGGGGGAAUAUGCGUAGAAAGUACCGGAUUUCUGGUUUAACAUCACAGGCGACGAGGGAACUGUCUUUCCCGGUUGACGAUAGAGGUACACUGAAGUCUGUGGUUCAGUAUUUCCAAGAAACCUAUGCUUUUGCUAUUCAAUACUCGACAUUGCCAUGCCUGCAAGUGGGUAAUCAACAGAGACCAAAUUAUUUGCCCAUGGAGGUCUGCAAGAUCGUAGAAGGACAAAGGUAUUCAAAACGGUUGAACGAGAAGCAAAUAACUAAUUUACUUAAGGUUACCUGCCAGCGUCCUCAAGAUCGAGAAAGGGACAUAAUAGAGACGGUACUUCAAAAUGACUAUGAGAAAGAUCAAUAUGCUAAAGAAUUCGGCAUUAAUAUCAGUACAAGACUGGCAUCUGUUGAGGCACGGAUUUUACCCCCGCCAUGGCUUAAAUACCAUGACACGGGUAGAGAGAGGGAUUGCCUGCCAAAAGUUGGUCAAUGGAAUAUGAUGAAUAAGAAA